GCCAGACUCCUACGGGAGGCAGCAGUGGGGAAUAUUGCACAAUGGGGGAAACCCUGAUGCAGCGACGCCGCGUGAGUGAAGAAGUAUUUCGGUAUGUAAAGCUCUAUCAGCAGGAACGAGACAAGACGGUACCUGACUAAGAAGCCCCGGCUAACUACGUGCCAGCAGCCGCGGUAAUACGUAGGGGGCAAGCGUUAUCCGGAAUCACUGGGUGUAAAGGGAGCGUAGACGGCUGUGCAAGCCUGAAGUGAAAGGCGGGGGCCCAACCCCUGGACUGCUUUGGGAACUGUACGGCUGGAGUGCAGGAGAGGUAAGUGGAAUUCCUAGUGUAGCGGUGAAAUGCGUAGAUAUUAGGAGGAACACCAGUGGCGAAGGCGGCUUACUGGACUGUAACUGACGUUGAGGCUCGAAAGCGUGGGGAGCAAACAGGAUUAGAUACCCGAGUACC
rnacentral:rRNA from 1 species